GGGCCAAUGAUUGGGGUGAAGUCGUAACAAGGUAGCCGUAUCGGAAGGUGCGGCUGGAUCACCUCCUUU
rnacentral:rRNA from 1 species